rnacentral:siRNA from 1 species
CUAGUAGCAUCUCUUCUGGUAC